UACGGGGGGGGCAAGCGUUGUUCGGAAUUACUGGGCGUAAAGGGCUCGUAGGCGGCCAACUAAGUCAGACGUGAAAUCCCUCGGCUUAACCGGGGAACUGCGUCUGAUACUGGAUGGCUAGAGGUUGGGAGAGGGAUGCGGAAUUCCAGGUGUAGCGGUGAAAUGCGUAGAUAUCUGGAGAAACACCGGUGGCGAAGGCGGCAUCCUGGACCAAUUCUGACGCUGAGGAGCGAAAGCCAGGGGAGCAAACGGG
rnacentral:rRNA from 1 species